rnacentral:ncRNA from 1 species
GAGUUUGAUCAUGGCUCAGAUUGAACGCUGGCGGCAGGCCUAACACAUGCAAGUCGAACGGUAACAGGAUGUGCUUGCACAUCGCUGACGAGUGGCGGACGGGUGAGUAAUGCUUGGGAACUUGCCUUUGCGAGGGGGAUAACAGUUGGAAACGACUGCUAAUACCGCAUAAUGUCUUCGGACCAAACGGGGCUUAGGCUCCGGCGCAAAGAGAGGCCCAAGUGAGAUUAGCUAGUUGGUAAGGUAACGGCUUACCAAGGCGACGAUCUCUAGCUGUUCUGAGAGGAAGAUCAGCCACACUGGGACUGAGACACGGCCCAGACUCCUACGGGAGGCAGCAGUGGGGAAUAUUGCACAAUGGGGGAAACCCUGAUGCAGCCAUGCCGCGUGUGUGAAGAAGGCCUUCGGGUUGUAAAGCACUUUCAGUUGUGAGGAAAAGUUAGUAGUUAAUACCUGCUAGCCGUGACGUUAACAACAGAAGNNNNNNNNNNNNN